GUCCAAUAAUCUCGGAGUUUCUAAAUCUGUUUCCAAUAAUAUGUCUACUUAUUAUGUCUUUUCCCGUGAUGUUCAGAUGUGUUAAGUAGACCGUAAACGUUUAUGUAUUCGUGGGAGAUUGAAAAGUGUAAAAAUAUACGGAUAUAGUAAAAGUUAGUUAUAAUAUCUACUUCGUAGAACGAGUAUAUUUAAAGUUAAUUUUUUUUUACUUCACAUUCAUAAGAAUAUGAUGUUGCCUAGACAUUUGCAGUCUAGCGAUAGAUGUAGUUGGACGACGAGCAUGUUAAGAGAUUUUUGCAAGUAGAAAUCGGUUCCAAGAAUAGGAUAUUAGGAUGCAUAGUAACAAGCUGCCAAUUGACUAUACAAUGACACGCAGCAAGAAUGUAUUCUGCUUGUGAAAUCUUUAAGUGUACAUACAUUAUGAUUGGAAUAGAAAGAGUGAGGUAUGAGUCAUUAAACGGUUGUUCGAGAGUUAUGAUAUAAUCACGGACUACACAGAAUUAUUGAAAGGCGUCGUAGCAAUAAGGAAAUAACGUAUGUUUAUCUACUUAUGAGAGUGCACGAUUAUUGUUGCCUAAUCCAGUGACUCUAUAUAGCGUAUUUGCGAAGAAAGAAUUUUUUCUUGAUGAAACCGGUUCCAAUCGACAAGAAUUAAUCAGAAAUCGAUAAUAAUCCGAUGCUGAGAGGUCGAGGAUAAAAGGAACGCCGACUGAACGUUUUCUCGACCGCGUGGAUAGUCGGCCACAAAGGCCGGAUGCCAUCGGCGGUGCACGCAGGUGGGCACAGUUCUAAUGCCAGAGACGCUUUGCAUUGCACGUGGCAUUGCAAGGCCAACCGGCCACAAGAAAUCGUCGUCAGGAAUAUGGGGGCCUGGCGACCAGUUCGAGGCGUAGAAAACGCCGCCGCGAUGCGAACAGAUAUGUUUCGUUUCGAGAAAAAUCGGUUGCGUAAUCACGCGAUAUCAUCGCAAAAUCAUCGGCUACCUCCAUCAACCAACCAGUUUCCAUACGAGCAGUAUGUAGCCGUGUUCAGUCGAGACAGAUUACUGUAACGGAGCGAAACGGAGACGUUCAGUUCGCAACGAUGCCACAUAAAAUCGUCUGAUGUAAGUGGCAUGAUUUCACACCGGAGCACUUCACCAAAGAUUAUAUUUCUGAUAAUUGAAGAGUUCGUGAGAAUAACGAUUAAGUAGAGUGUCGUAAAAAGUAAAAUUUUUUAGUAUUUGGGGUUUCGUGAACUUCUUCUCGUUGUACAAAAUUCAAGGUUUAAUAUGUUCCUUUCUUACAAUAUAAAUGCCGCUUCAUCAAUAUUUAAAUUUUAAGAGAAGGAUUACGACUGUUUUCCCUCGGAAUACUUUAAUUGUUUUUCUUUCGCACGAGAAACCCGAGUUGUAGCGCAACAUGUGAUAAAGGUUUUAUUGUAUGCGGGAAAUGUAGUUCAUAGAUUAAAUAGUGACCCAGAUGUAAUUGAACUUAAUCCGGAGAUACCAAGAUAUGAGGAAACAUGAUAUUAAAUGGUAACUGAGAUUUAUUGGUGAAGAGAGAAUUAUUGAAAAUCAGAAGAAGAAAAAAGAAAAAAAAAGGAACAUUUAAUACUGGAACUAAAACCUUUUGAAAUGAGUGUCAUAUUUUUUGUGUUUGUAAUUACUAGAAACAUGCAGGUACUUUUAACGAAGUAAAAUAUUGACUGUUAUUGAAAAAUAAGCUAAAGUAAAAGAAAGUGUGUCGUUCGAAUAAUUAUAAGCGAUUUUUUGAAACCUUUAAAAUUGCAGUUUCGAUUUGAAAUGGAUUGUCACCGUUUUCCUGUUGAAACCUUCAAAUAUCAUCAAAUAUCAUUGUUUCUAAAAUAUA